rnacentral:rRNA from 1 species
GACGAACGCUGGCGGCGUGCCUAACACAUGCAAGUCGAGCGGAGCCAACCGAACAAUCCCUUCGGGGAGCGUUUGGGGAAGCUUAGCGGCGGACGGGUGAGUAACGCGUGAGUAACCUGCCCAUUAGUGGGGAAUAACACAGAGAAAUUUGUGCUAAUACCGCAUACGGAAUAACCAAGGCAUCUUGGAAGUUUAAAAGAUUUAUCGCUAAUGGAUGGACUCGCGUCUGAUUAGAUAGUUGGUAGGGUAACGGCCUACCAAGUCAACGAUCAGUAGCCGAACUGAGAGGAUGAACGGCCACAUUGGGACUGAGACACGGCCCAGGCUCCUACGGGAGGCAGCAGUAGGGAAUCAUCGGCAAUGGGGGAAACCCUGACCGUGCAAUGCCGCGUGAGUGAUGAAGGCCUUCGGAUCGUAAAGUUCUGUUAUUAGAGAAGAACAAGUCAAGGAGUAACUGUCUUGACUUUGACGGUACCUAACCAGAAAGUCACGGCUAACUACGUGCCAGCAGCCGA